rnacentral:rRNA from 1 species
UGGGGAAUCUUGGACAAUGGGCGCAAGCCUGAUCCAGCCAUGCCGCGUGAGUGAAGAAGGCCUUCGGGUUGUAAAGCUCUUUUAUCGGGGACGAUGAUGACGGUACCCGAUGAAUAAGCUCCGGCUAACUUCGUGCCAGCAGCCGCGGUAAUACGAGGGGAGCUAGCGUUGUUCGGAAUUACUGGGCGUAAAGGGCGCGUAGGCGGUACUAUAAGUCAGAUGUGAAAGCCCUGGGCUUAACCUAGGAGGUGCAUUUGAAACUGUAGAACUAGAGAUCGAGAGAGGAAAGUGGAAUUACGAGUGUAGAGGUGAAAUUCGUAGAUAUUCGUAAGAACACCGGUGGCGAAGGCGACUUUCUGGCUCGAUACUGACGCUAAGGCGCGAAAGCGUGGGGAGCAAACAGGAUUAGAUACCCAUGUAGUCCCUGAGCGGGCUGGCAAGGCGCAU